rnacentral:rRNA from 1 species
UACGUAGGGGGCUAGCGUUGUCCGGAAUCAUUGGGCGCAAAGAGCGUGUAGGCGGUCCGGUAAGUCCGCUGUGAAAGUCGGGGGCUCAACCCUCGAAUGCCGGUGGAUACUGUCGGGCUAGAGUGCGGAAGAGGCGAGUGGAAUUCCUGGUGUAGCGGUGAAAUGCGCAGAUAUCAGGAGGAACACCUAUUGCGAAGGCAGCUCGCUGGGACGUAACUGACGCUGAGACGCGAAAGCGUGGGGAGCAAACAGG